UCUCCGUAGGUGAACCUGCGGAGGGAUCAUUACAGAGUUCAUGCCCUACCGGGUAGAUCUCCCACCCUAUGUUAUUAUUACUUUGUUGCUUUGGCGGGCCGUUAGGCUCCGGCCCGACUACCGGCCCCGGCUGGUAAGCGCCCGCCAGAGGACCCAAAACCCUGAAUAUUAGUGUCGUCUGAGUACUAUAUAAUAGUUAAAACUUUCAACAACGGAUCUCUUGGUUCUGGCAUGAUGAAGAACGCAGC
rnacentral:misc_RNA from 1 species